AUGCCGGCGGCGGUUAAACCUCUGAGCCCAGGAGUCAGGGGCCGGAUGUGCCAGCCUGGCCCCAUGGCCUGUCCCGCAGAUCCGGGGUCUGUCGUGGGGGAGGGGCACCUCCCGUGUGUGGCCCUGGACAAGCGGCCGCCCGGGUGUCCAGGCUGUGCCCCCCCAAGCUGUUCUCCCUGGCUCCCUGGGCAGAGGUGGGCCCAGGGGCACGGGGAGGCCUGCCCUUCCCGCGGGGCUCGGGGCUGCUGCCUGUGGGAGAGCAGGGGUCUGGACUCGGGCCUGCGGGCACCUGGGAGGGGCCCCUGCGCUGUCCCUGCUCCAGAAGCCGGGUCGUCACCUCUUCCCUGGACCCCGGGUGGCCUGUCCCUGCGGGAGGACGAGGAGGGGGUCCAGGGCAGACGUGGCCCCGGCUGGCUGAGAGGCCGCUGUCACGUUCCACAGCCACUUGGGUCCCGAGGCCGCAGAGCCGGGAGGCCGCAGGGGAGGCCGGGAGCUCUGGCAGGCGGCCGGCCGGCUCCUCCUGGCCGCGGGCCAGCUCAGGCCUGGCUGCUCCGGGGGUUUGCUGAGCUGGUUGCACGGGUGAGACCUCGGGGGGGCGGGGGAGCGGAGGCCGGGCCGCGGGGCUCCUGCCAAGGCUGCCUGCCAGGCGGCUUCUCCCGGCCCCAUGGCCCUGCAGAGGGCCCGGCCUUGGGCAGAGCGGGGACCCUCUGGGGACGAGCGACGCUGCUCUGGGGUCUGGCCCCCCCUGAGAGCCUCCUGGGCUCUGCGUGUCCCCAGCGGUGCCUGGGCGCUACAGCCGUGUGCCCUCCCCCAGCUCCCCAAGGACCCGGGCUGAGAGGUCAGCUUCAAGGGCCCUGCUUCCUGCGUAGAGCCCUUGGGCAGCCUGGCCCCCCCGUCCCCAGGCCCCUGCCCACACGCAGCUCCGUCCUCGUACUGGGCCGGGGGACAGCGAGGACCCCAGUGCGGCGGGGGACAGGACAGCGGGGGCCUGGGUCCCUCGCCUGGGCCUGGCCGGCCGCGUCUGGCUGCAGGGCCGCCCCAGGCCGCUCGCCUGCCAGGGCCUGCGGGAUCACCUGUGGGGCGGUGCCGGGCUGCCCGGGGCCUCUGGGCCUGGGCCGGGGCCAGUGUCAGCACAGCUUGGCCUCACGGAGGGGCCGGGCCCCGUGGGCGAGCCGCAGACCAGGGUGGUGUCGCGCCGCAUGCCCCGGAGUCCAGUUGGGGUCGCCUCGCGGGGGCCCGGGGGCUGCGAUCCCUCCUGGGACAGCGGCCUGUGCGGUCCUUGUGAGCUCAGCGCCCCCGCCCCGGGGCCCGGCCUCCCCCAGCCCCUGUCCCCUGUCAGUGGGGAGUGGCCCUGCCUGGCAGGAGGUCUGGGCCGGGACGCCCGGGGAGGGAGCCGUUCCCUGGCCGCUGUUUACCCACCAGGCAGCUGUGGGUGUGGCCUGGGCAGGGCGCCUCUGGGAAGGAAGUGUGGCCGCCGCGGUGCCAGAGUCACGGGGCCUCCGGUCGUCGCCGUGGUGCCCGGCGCAGGCCUGA
rnacentral:lncRNA from 1 species